ensembl:lncRNA
GUGUAAGUUACAAGCUCAAUCAAUGGAAGCUGGCCAGGAGAAAAGGUCCUUCAGGUGCAGGAAUCAGAUGCAAUGAUGAUGAAGAGGCUCGCAGAACCAUCAUCUGCUUCUUUGGACACACUGGUUGAUGAUCCCUGAUUCUCAGAGGUACAUCGUGGUGAAUUGGUCAAGUGGACUUUUACCUUGCAUGGCCCUGUACAAAGCCGUAUGACCAUCUGCCUGCACUCUGAGCCGAGGUAGCAUGAGGAUAGACAGAGGCAUGAGUGCAGAGCGGCAGUAUUUCCUCCUGGAAGUGGGCUGUGACUGAUCAGCGAUGCACAAUCUGUACCUGCGUCUGUAGCGCUGAGAUAACAGGAAGAACGGCGGUGGAGGAGUGGAG